rnacentral:rRNA from 1 species
GAGUUUGAUCGUGGCUCAGAACGAACGCUGGCGGCGUGCUUAACACAUGCAAGUCGAGCGAGAAAGGGCUUCGGCCCGAGUACAGCGGCGAACGGGUGCGUAACACGUGGGUAAUCUGCCUUCAGGCCCGGGAUAACCUUUCGAAAGGAGGGCUAAUACCGGAUGAGCUGGCGGAAUCUUUGGAUUCUGCCGGAAAAGGUGGCCUCUAUUUAUAAGCUACUUCCUGAAGAUGAGCCCGCGGCCCAUCAGCUAGUUGGCGGGGUAACGGCCCACCAAGGCUACGACGGGUAGCUGGUCUGAGAGGACGAUCAGCCACACUGGGACUGAGACACGGCCCAGACUCCUACGGGAGGCAGCAGUGGGGAAUAUUGGACAAUGGGGGCAACCCUGAUCCAGCAAUGCCGCGUGUGUGAAGAAGGCCUUC